rnacentral:rRNA from 1 species
GACGAACCGUGCGAACGUUGUUCGGAAUCACUGGGCUUAAAGGGCGCGUAGGCGGUCUGCCAAGUCCGGGGUGAAAGCCCCCAGCUUAACUGGGGAAGUGCCUUGGAUACUGGCGGACUCGAGCGAGGCAGGGGUUGUGGGAACUUCCGGUGGAGCGGUGAAAUGCGUUGAUAUCGGAAGGAACGCCGGUGGCGAAAGCGCACAACUGGUCCUCUUCUGACGCUGAGGCGCGAAAGCCAGGGGAGCAAACGGG